CUGAUAGGUUUUACGAAACAAAACGAACUGGCAACAGACAAACAGAGAACAUAGGUAUAAAUACACAGGGGAUAAUAGGGAAGAUGUGCGACACCUGGAGGGGGGUGGAGACAAGCACAAAGACAGGUGAAAUAGAUCAGGGUGUGACAAGUACUAUCAGUCCCUAUUGUAGUGUACUUCCGUACUAUGAAGGUGGUGCUGAGAGUUCUCUGUCUGUGAAUGUGCUCACUCUUAUGUGAAGGACUUCACCAGCAUGAACCACUGUGGUGGACUUUUGGAAGCGGCAAAAAGUGGUGCUGAAAAGUCUUCUCUACCUCCAACCCCCUGGGGACAGAGUGAACAUCUGGUGACAGUUCUGCUCUAUUCUGGGACAAGCAGAACCACCCAGCCAUGUCUAUUCCUCCCGGUUUUGACCCGUGCCGGUUUCUGGACUUUGUACCUUCCUGCCUGACCAUUCUGCCUGCCUUGACCUCGAGCCUGCCUGCCACUCUGUACCUCCUGGACUCUGAACUGGUUUUGACCUUUUGCUUGUCCACAACAAUUCUCUUGCCUACCCUUUUGGAUUAGAAUAAAA